rnacentral:tRNA from 1 species
GCGNAAGGUGGCGGAAUUGGUAGACGCGCUAGCUUCAGGUGUUAGUGUUCUUACGGACGUGGGGGUUCAAGUCCCCCCCCUCGCACCA